CAGUCCUGACAAUAUCAGGGGCGGCGGGUUCUUCACAUCGGGGGCUAGCGAGCAGGGGAGGGUCAGGAGGCUGACAGGGCGUGCUAACGAGCAGCGAGGUUGGCGGUGGGGAAGCGGCUGCCCGGAGAUCCAAGCUACACCUCGCGGUGUCUGGUCUCACCAGGCACUCAUUGCCGGCCUCGCCGGCAUCCCGAGGUGGCACAACGACGGCCGCGCUCAACACCCUCUUUCACGACUCGACGACGGCCUAGCGCCAUAGGCGGCUCAUACGGUGGUCCAGCGGACGGCGGCCUCAGUGGGUGCUCGACGACGACCGUAGCUGGUGCACGAGCUUGCACUCAACCAGUCUAGACUCAACUCCUCAUAUCGGGUGCGGACUGAGAGUUGGAUGCUCUGUGCCAGCAUAUGGAUGUGUUGCGACACUGUUGCUUCGGCUGUGAGUGGUCCAGGAUUGCAACCUGGUGUCAUCCACUUCCUACUCACAGGUUACCGUAGUGUUAUGUAAAACAUACCCAAGCUCUCGUUCCUUAAAAUUAUCCAUCUAUUAACUGGAUUAUGAAUAAUUGCUCUUGCAAGUGAAUUUUCAUUACGUGCGUUGAGGAGGAUGCGCGGUCUUCAGACUCGGUGAUUUCUGGUUUUUUUCAUUUGAUCAUUUCUGCAGAGAUUGUCCUUCUAUGCAUUAUUUGGUAACCAUCUACUACAGAUCAGCUACUACCCUGCUGCUGCCCUUGUGGUGAAUGAUUGAUGGUGCAUGUUUUCAUGACCCUCCACCACCACUUGCUAGCAAGUACUACAUCAUACAGCAACAGACACCAUGGAUCUACUUCUGCUACUCAUCUCGCUUCUUAUGGUCACUACAGGAUAGGGAAUCUGGCUUGCGAGUUUUGCCGAUGCGACCAUGACGGCGAUGCCAAACUCUGAGGAGAUACCAAAGGUGUACUGGUAGGUGGUGCUUCCUGGAAUCCCAAUGCCUCCACCUAUCAUCAACCUGCUAUUAUCCCAGCAAAAUGGUCACAAAUUCCACCUUGGUGACCUCAUUUAAGUGAUUUCGGUAAUCGGUGGUACAACUUACCCUCUUUGAUACCUACAAAUUCUUCAUAAUGACUCUUAGUUUGCAAUCCAUUACGAAACAUUAAUGAAGAUAAUAUAUGUGAA